rnacentral:lncRNA from 1 species
AUGGUUUUGGGUGCGGAGGGUGAGCCACUGCAACAGGAGGUUGCACGAGCUGCUGUUCCUGCAAGAGGUUUGCAAAACUCAAAGGCCCCCAGCACCAGCAGCCCCGCUAAACCUGGCAGCCCUGCUAAUUGGGAGCAGAGGGAGAGGGGCCGAGCCACGUCAGGGGAAGAUGGAGUGGCUGAGCGAGCAGACGGCAGACGGCGGCAUGCAGAGACAGUCGGGGGAGAAGGGGAGGACUGUGUGAGAGGCAAGGCAGGGGCUGAGGAGGAGGAGGAGGAGGGGAAGGAGGGGCUGAGCAAAGCAGAGCGGGCGAGCAGGCGUCAGAGCUGCAGGGGCUUGGGGACGGUGUCGCAGGCAAGGCUGAAAUAUAAAUGGGAAUUCUCACCGAGACAGAUCGAUGCCAUAUUGCUUUUGCUCCAGGGACACUUCUGCAUAUCCCUACAAGUUCAUCAAAAUCUCAGCCCAGCUGAAUUAACCCACGGCCCAGCCUGACAGGUAAUGAUGCUGUUCCUCUCUUGUGGCAGUGGUGAUGAGGAAAGACUCCUUCACCCCAUGGACAGCAGCAACAUGCGUGUUUGGAUGGAAGAGGUGUAACCCAGGGACAUCUGGCUCUCCGGGUGCGAGGUACAGCGACGUGGAUCUUACAUAAAUCAAUGAUUUCUGGAAGGCAUAGAAUCAGGCAUUUAUCUAGGACCACAUCUCUCUCCCGAGGCACUCCUGCUGGUAGCUGCAUUCAGCCACUUGCCCUGCAGUACAGCGAGAAGGCAGGAGCGCGAAUUCCCCAGCUAGCUCUGAUUCAGUAAUCAUAACAAGUGUUCAUUAGUGCCAUCAUCGUUAUUCAGAGUGGUCAGCUGGGCAUUGCGCUGCGCUCAAGUGGAUCACCAGUCUUUGGUCUCUAGCUCUGACCUUGCAAUUGACUGCAAGCCGGUGACAUCAUGCAGCGUCUCUGGAGGCUUGCAUGGGUGAUGUGGCUGCCUUUUAUUAAAAGUUGCUUCUUGGAAUCUCAUGCUGCAGAUUGAAGGUAUGAUGUUGUCUU